rnacentral:rRNA from 1 species
CCCGCUGAACUUAAGCAUAUCAAUAAGCGGAGGAAAAGAAACUAACAAGGAUUCCCCUAGUAACUGCAAGUGAAGCGGGAAAAGCUCAAAUUUAAAAUCUGGUGGUCUUUGGCCAUCCGAGUUGUAAUUUAGAGAAGCGUCUUCCGCGCUGGACCGUGCACAAGUCUCCUGGAAUGGAGCGUCACAGAGGGUGAGAAUCCCGUCUUUGGCAUGGACACACCAGGGCUUUUGUGAUGCGCUCUCGAAGAGUCGAGUUGUUUGGGAAUGCAGCUCAAAAUGGGUGGUGAACUCCAUCUAAAGCUAAAUAUUGGCGAGAGACCGAUAGCGAACAAGUACCGUGAGGGAAAGAUGAAAAGCACUUUGGAAAGAGAGUGAAACAGUACGUGAAAUUGUUGAAAGGGAAACGCUUGAAGUCAGUCGCGUCGACCGAGACUCAGCCUCGCCUCGGCUUGGUGUACUUCUCGGACGACGGGUCAGCAUCAAUUUUGCCCCUUGGAUAAUGACGAGGGAAAUGUGACACCUUUGCGGGUGUGUUAUAGUCUCUAGUCGCAUGCAAGGGUCGGGAUUGAGGAACUCAGCACGCGCCUUCGGGCGUCGGGGUUCGCCCACGAUACGUGCUUAGGAUGUUGGCGUAAUGGCUUUAAACGACCCGUCUUGAAACACGG